UGUGAUGCCCUAGGCGCCAGCUGACUUUGAAAAACCCCAGCUUCACCCUUUAGUUUUCAGCUUUGAACCUAAAUUUGCCCGCCGGGGAUCCUUUUCCCCUUCAGCAUUUUCCCUUUAAUAAGAGGUAGAGACGAUGGGAUCGUUGUCUCCAGCGACGCCAGGGUGAGAAAUCCUUAUCGUCCGCUUCGUUCGCCGACGGCCUCGAGAGCUGUCUGCCAUCUUGUUUCUUUUUUCAUGGAGAAAAUGUUGCGAAGAUCACAACAAGGGCCAUAGCCCAUCCUGCUUUACCACUGAGUCAAGCCUUAGUCGCGUCCAAUGCACUGUUGAUCCCAGUGGUUUCUUCUACCUCUGUAAGUGUCCGCACUGCAACUUGGGCAAUUCCAAGCCUUAUGGUUCAGUUACUAGGUUAACUUAUGCCAAUUUCUUGUUGUUGUGCGGUAAGUUUUUCUGUUCUUUUGAUGGCUCUAAGAAGAUACAAGGCAAAUUCUUGUGAUGAGACUGUAUUUUGAUUGUUAUAGAUAGGUCACUAGUAGAGUACUAUGUUUCAACUUUUGCCUUGUAUAGACUGCAUAAAUAAUAAUUCUUGCGCACCGUUCGCUUUCAGAUGAAUAUGUUGAUUAAGUUUGCUUAACAACAUCCAUUUAAGCAGAACUUAGCAUAGACCAUCAUCUUAGGGUCUCAUCAAUCAGGUACUUGUUAUGACUGUAACUUUACUGACAUUUCCUGUCUGAUUGUCUGUAUCUCCUUCAUUAGCAUAUUUGUCCACACUUUUGGACGGAGAAUCUCAUCUGUUAUUGCCAAGGAUCUUUCUGUACAGAGGUCCAAAUCCAACCUUUGGUUUUCUUUCGCCUCGAAGUGAUUCUGCUUUUCUGAACACCAAAACUGUCAGCAGUGGCAAGCCUUGAUUUUGCUGAUCAACCAUGUUUGUUUCGCCUUGCCCCUCUUUUAAGGUCGUUUAUGAUGCAUAUUCAAUUUAUACACCGACGCCAUUCUCUUGGUGCUCAUUAUGUACUUUUACUUCUGCUUCUAUGUGACACCCUUUACUGGGGAGGUAUUUAUUUCCUACCCCAUCUGUAACUUGGGUUGUUCUUCGGUUAGGACCAUCACAUUAUUAGGCCUGGGUACAGCAUGUGCUACAUUGGACUGAUAUUUCUACUGCUCAGACACAACUUAACAUCGCAAUGAAGCUUGUAAGAAUUAUUGUAAGGAUAUAAAUUGACGGACACCUAUGACCUAUCCCGUAUGAGAGCACAUGGUUCUCUUACCUCUCUAGUGUCUGCUGUUCACACUGGUGAAGAGCUGGGACCUCUGUGUUUCUCUGCGUGGUUCAGGGAAAUCAAACCGGCGUCCUCACUUUCAGAAAUGACGACAACGUAUACAGCAGCUAGCUGACUUGGCGUGAUCAUGUGGUCCCCACCCCUUAGAUAUUUUUCCUCCCCCCAUGCUUUCACCUCUUCUGAUCAAGUGACUCCUCGUUUAUUUAGAGGAAGUAGUUUGGUUCGAAGGUCUAAUUGAACAAAGAUAUAUUCUCGACUUUGACCUAUUAGAAUGGAUCCUCCAGUCUGAAUAUCCUGCGAUCCGAGGGAUAAGAUCAACCACCAAGAGAGUAGGAUUUGUCCGUCCUUGUCAGGAAUACCAGAUGCUAAUAAAUUCUUAGCCCGGGUUGGCUGUGAAAGAUGCGAAUCCGUGUCCUACUAGCCCACUUGUUUGUUCAGAGAGUGGAAAAUACCCGAGGUAAAGAUAACGCAGAAGCGAUGGAGAAUUGCUGAGAUUGAAAGACGAAGGGAGUGAAGAGAUCAGCGGGCGUGGAUCAGGGGAUAAGGAUGUUGGUGUGGCUUAAGCCCGCGUUUGCGCUAUUUGCUGAAACUGAGUAUCUAUAUUGGGGUGUAGUGAAUUCUCUCCUCCCAUUUCCUGGGCUGAAAACAAGCCUGGGACCACGAUAUUCCAGUUGUACGUUUACUUGCAUUUCGCCGUCACAGAAAAGAAUUUAGUGACCCGAAAGAGAUUGUUGACGGUUGACAGUAGCUCGUUCGAUGGCAACACCACCGCACUUUGGCGUUUGCGGCAUCCGCUUUCAUCUUGAUUGAGUAGGAGCCGUUCGUUCGUUCAUCCAUGAGCUCUACUACACAGCAGAUAUUUUAUCCCUCUCUCGCUUGUCUGGAUGCAACCGUACAUGUGAUGUGCAGACGAACAAUAUAAUGGAAAACGCUUUGACAUUUAUAUAAUGAAGUGUAUUUUUUAGUCCCCCCCCAGUGUGAGCGGACAAAUCACAGGGCAGAAACACUUUGAUGUGUUUAUACAGCUGCAGCCUGAAACAUGAGAAAUUUAUGCGUGAUUAAAAUUAGCUGGCGAGCUGCAUCGCUCUUUUUCCACUGCGUUUGUUGUACGGUGCUCAACGGUGCCACGUGAUUCACAGGCCACCCCGCAGAGAUAUGUUUGGCGGGGGUGCAGUUGAAGACACACAGAAACGGACUGCUCUGUGGCCCCCGCGUGUCAUCUAUAGUAAGAUUUUAUGGAUCUCUGAGUUAAAGCUUUAGCUAGCUAGCUUCUUGCUGCUGCUGCUGCGGCUGGUGCACGAGAGAGAGAGAUCACAACUGAUUCCCGUGAGUGAGCUGGUAACUUCCCUUCUAUAAUUUUGCUGAGAUUGACUUCUUGCAUCAACUUAGUCCCGGCUUCGAUCUAUUUACUCGUGACUCCGAUUCCUUUCAUAUGCGUCAAUCUCGUGGGUUUCCGUGACUAAUUGGGUAUUGACCCAGGGGGGCAGGGCAGGGGGGUAGAUUGGGGCUGAAGUGGAGCUGAAAUGGGAGUCAAGUUCGCCGGCAACUGCUUGCAUUGGUCUCGGCCGUCGCUGCCCCGUUGCUCCUCUUCUCCCCAAACCUUAGCCUCCAUCGUCUCCU